rnacentral:rRNA from 1 species
AUUGAACGCUGGCGGCAGGCCUAACACAUGCAAGUCGAGCGGAUGAGAGGAGCUUGCUUCUCGAUUCAGCGGCGGACGGGUGAGUAAUGCCUAGGAAUCUUCCUGGUAGUGGGGGACAACGUUUCGAACGGAACGCUAAUACCGCAUACGUCCUACGGGAGAAAGCAGGGGACCUUCGGGCCUUGCGCUAUCAGAUGAUCCUAGGUCGGAUUAGCUAGUUGGUGAGGUAAUGGCUCACCAAGGCGACGAUCCGUAACUGGUCUGAGGGGAUGAUCAGUCACACUGGAACUGAGACACGGUCCAGACUCCUACGGGAGGCAGCAGUGGGGAAUAUUGGACAAUGGGCGAAAGCCUGAUCCAGCCAUGCCGCGUGUGUGAAGAAGGUCUUCGGAUUGUAAAGCACUUUAAGUUGGGAGGAAGGGUUGUAGAUUAAUACUCUGCAAUUUUGACGUUACCGACAGAAUAAGCACCGGCUAACUCUGUGCCAGCCGCCGCCGUAAAAC